CACACAGAAACGGGAUUGGGUAGGAUGGAGAGCACACGUGGAAUCAUAUGCAAAAUUCCCUGAGCCAAGCCACAUGUAUCACACAGAAACGGGAUUGGGUAGGAUGGAGAGCACACGUGGAAUCAUAUGCAAAAUUCCUGAGCCAAGCGAAACAGCAGCUUGUUAAGCACGAGUCAAGCUUGGUUGGCUUGUCAUUUUACCUGAGCUCAUACGGACUUCUUAUCCAGCCCAACCAGACUCUGGUACAUUUCUGCAAGCCCA
rnacentral:lncRNA from 1 species